rnacentral:rRNA from 1 species
AUACGGAGGGUGCAAACGUUACUCGGAAUCACUGGGCGUAAAGCGCGCGCAGGCGGCUAUUUAAGUUGGAUGUGAAAGCCUACGGCUCAACCGUAGAACUGCAUCCAAAACUAUUUAGCUAGGGUGUGGGAGAGGAAGAUGGAAUUAGUUGUGUAGGGGUAAAAUCCGUAGAGAUAACUAGGAAUACCAAAAGCGAAGGCAAUCUUCUGGAACACUACUGACGCUGAGGCGCGAAAGCGUGGGGAGCAAACAGGAUUAGAAACCCUAGUAGUCC